rnacentral:tRNA from 1 species
GGAGAGGUGUCCGAGUGGUUUAAGGUAUAGACCUGGAACGUCUAUGUAAUGUAUUUGUUACCGAGGGUUCAAAUCCCUCCCUGUCCG